AAGAAGAAGAAGAAGAACAAAGACCUAGAAAUGGCAGUCAAGAUGAUAUUUUUAUUGAAGAAGCAACAAGAGGGGUCUAAUUUCACACCCCGUUGACUAUUUUGAAAGGAAAGGGUCCCAUAAAAAUUAAAAUUAGCAAAUGGUUCUAAUCUUCCACUUGCAUAUAGUUUUGAAAACCUUCAAAAGUCAGCAAUUCCAUUCGUCUCGAUGUCUUCCCUUCUUCUGCUGACUUUCUGUUUCUUCGGAAGUUUAUUUAUAUCCCAGAUUUCUAGCAAUAAAUAUGUGGGUCAAUUUUAAAAUCGGGUUUAAUCCUCUUCACUCGUCUGAUUUCCAGAUUUCACUUCCAGAAAAUCUGGAUUAUUGUCGCGGCUUAAUUGUUUCUUCCAAGUGGGGAAAUUCAAUUUACAACAAAUUGUAGACAAGUGGGAUUUCAUGUUAUGAGAGAAUUGAUAUUUGUAGAAUUAGUUUUCAAUUUUAGGUCAAUUUGACCCAAAAUGAUAUUAUUUAACUUGUACUAAUAUGAUAUUAUUUCGACUAAAAAGACAAAAAUAUAGACAAAUAAAAGACUUG
rnacentral:misc_RNA from 1 species